rnacentral:rRNA from 1 species
GCGCGUUACUCGGGAGUAGACCUUUCGAAAGAAAGAUUAAUACCCGAUGGUAUAAAGAGUUCGCAUGUUCUCUUUAUUAAAGAAUUUCGGUAAGCGAUGGGGAUGCGUUCCAUUAGAUAGUUGGCGGGGUAACGGCCCACCAAGUCUACGAUGGAUAGGGGUUCUGAGAGGAAGGUCCCCCACAUUGGAACUGAGACACGGUCCAAACUCCUACGGGAGGCAGCAGUGAGGAAUAUUGGUCAAUGGACGCGAGUCUGAACCAGCCAAGUAAGCGUGAAGGAUGACUGCCCUAUGGGUUGUAAACUUCUUUUAUAAGGGAAUAAAGUGAGGGACGUGUCCCUUUUUGUAUGUACCUUAUGAAUAAGGAUCGGCUAACUCCGUGCCAGCCGCAGC